rnacentral:rRNA from 1 species
AACGAACGCUGGCGGCAUGCCUAACACAUGCAAGUCGAACGAUCCCUUCGGGGAUAGUGGCGCACGGGUGCGUAACGCGUGGGAACCUGCCCUUAGGUUCGGAAUAACUCAGAGAAAUUUGAGCUAAUACCGGAUAAUGUCUUCGGACCAAAGACUUAUCGCCUUUGGAUGGGCCCGCGUUGGAUUAGCUAGUUGGUGGGGUAAAGGCCUACCAAGGCGACGAUCCAUAGCUGGUCUGAGAGGAUGAUCAGCCACACUGGGACUGAGACACGGCCCAGACUCCUACGGGAGGCAGCAGUGGGGAAUAUUGGACAAUGGGCGAAAGCCUGAUCCAGCAAUGCCGCGUGAGUGAUGAAGGCCUUAGGGUUGUAAAGCUCUUUUACCCGGGAUGAUAAUGACAGUACCGGGAGAAUAAGCCCCGGCUAACUCCGUG